rnacentral:rRNA from 1 species
AGAAAUUCGAUUCCGUAAGUAGCGGCGAGCGAACGCGGAUUAGCCCAAACCAAUAAAGUUUUCUUUAUUGGGGUUGCGGACAUAUCAUAACGAAGAGGUAUCGUAAUUGAAGAGGUUUGGAAAGACCCACCACAGAAGGUAAUAGUCCUGUAUGUUAAACGAGAAGACUUCAGAUAUGAUCCAGAGUACCACGGGACACGUGAAACCCUGUGGGAAGCAGGAGGGACCACCCUCCAAGGCUAAAUACUACCUAGUGACCGAUAGCGUAUAGUACCGUGAGGGAAAGGUGAAAAGAACCCCGGGAGGGGAGUGAAAUAGAACCUGAAACCCUGCACUUACAAGCUGUGGAAGCACAUUUCUUGUGUGACCGCGUACUUUUUGUAGAACGGGCCAACGAGUUACGUUAAGUAGCAAGGUUAAGCACUUAAGGUGUGGAGCCGUAGCGAAAGCGAGUUUUAACUGAGCGUUCAGUUACUUGACGUAGACCCGAAACCGGGCGACCUACCCAUGAGCAGGAUGAAGCGAAAGUAAAAUUUCGUGGAGGUCCGAACCCACGAGCGUUGAAAAGCUCGGGGAUGACUUGUGGGUAGCGGUGAAAUUCCAAUCGAGCCCGGAGAUAGCUGGUUCU